CAAGAAUGCUGUUGAUGUCUGUGCUGUGGAUGGAUGGAAAACUCCUCCUGCCAAUGGCCUUUCCAGCUCCUCAGUGGUGGCUGUAACAUUUUGAUGGCCCUCAGCAGCUCAUACCAAAGAAGGAUGGGACCAUCUAAGGCUCGUUAACUUCUGCUGCUCAGGAGAUAUUAACAAAACCACAAGUGGAUGGCUCAGCUCGAUAUCCAACCCUUCCACGUCCCACGAGGAUCCCAGCUGGUGCAUUUGCUGUACAAGGACCCUCACAGGGAGAGGCAUUUGCUGAGCCCUGAGCAGGGUGAGAACGCCUCCUCUACAUGGGCCAGGAGUUUGUGGCCAGUGGUCACAGCAGCACGGGCUCAAGGGCUUUUCAAGGUUUGUUAGGCAAUAAUCCACUCCACACAGAUUGUUUUAACUUUCACACCAAUGCCUAAUUAAACCUUGUCCCACAUCCUGCCGCAAUGAGGACAAUUUUAUCCAAUCAUAUAAUUAUGGGAAUACACAAGACAGAGAGUCAAACAGACUCGAUUAGCAGAGCUGGUUUGAUAACCAAGAUGCCAUGGCAGAACAGACAGAACUGUGAAGAUUACAGAAGAUGGGAUUAAACCUGCUUAUGGGAAGAGAGGAGAUUCAAUCAACUUCUGCAAGCAAAGAAUUGUUGUAAAAUGCAUGAGUUUUCUGUGUGAUUUUUAACC